rnacentral:tRNA from 1 species
GAGGGGGUAGCUCAGUGGUAGAGUGCCUGCUGAGCAUGCACGAGGUCCUGGGUUCAAUCCCCAGUACCUACA